CAGGACGAACGCUGGCGGCGUGCCUAACACAUGCAAGUCGAGCGAAGAUUAUAGCAAUGUAAUCUUAGCGGCGGACGGGUGAGUAACGCGUGGGCAACCUACCUCAAACUGGGGGAUAACACAGGGAAACUUGUGCUAAUACCGCAUAACAUCAUGAAAUGACAUCAUUUUAUGAUCAAAGGAGCAAUCCGGUAAGAGAUGGGCCCGCGUCCAAUUAGCUAGUUGGUGGUGUAACGGACCACCAAGGCGACGAUUGGUAGCCGAACUGAGAGGUUGAUCGGCCACAUUGGGACUGAGACACGGCCCAGACUCCUACGGGAGGCAGCAGUGGGGAAUAUUGCGCAAUGGGGGAAACCCUGAACCGCAGCAACGCCGCGUGAAGGAUGAAGGUUUUCGGAUCGUAAACUUCUUUGAUGAGGGACGAAAGCAAUGACGGUACCUCAAAAACAAGCCACGGCUAACUACGUGCCAGCCGCCGC
rnacentral:rRNA from 1 species